AGAAAUGUAUAAAAAAAAAUAGAGAUUAACUUUUGAGAGCAUUUUCUUAUGUAGAAAUAGCUGUUCGUGUUCAUGUUUGGUAGGAGCUGAGCGUUGGGGGCUGGAGCCCCAUCAGCUGGAUGCCCAGGCUAACUUUGUUGCACUUAUGAACGUUUGGACUUGUGAACCCACUCACAGAACACAACUGGUUCGUAUUUUGGGCACUUUCUGAAUAAUGAAACCAAACUUCUGCAAUGCCCUGUGUGUACACCAGGUGUCAGUAAGUUACCAAUGAACACAGACAGUACAGAAGACAAUUAAUAGUGUUAAUCAUGGUGGUGGCACAGUGGCUAACCUUCAGGUUUGGGGAAGCAAAUCUUGCCUCCGCUCUUUGCGUGAUGAGUUUGCAUGUUGGGUAGUCCUGCAUGUCUUGUACGAUGGCUUGCAAAAGUAUUCAGCCCCAUUUGAAAGUUAUAAUUGAAAAAGAUUUGUACACAUUUGUCCACUCAAUAUUUUUAUCAUGAACUCGCAUGCUGUAACAAUACAUUUCCAAAGUCAAAAUAAACCAUUUUUGUAGUUAUUUAGCUGAAGAAGAAGAACUCAGAAUUUAGUGUUUGCAUAAGUAUUCAAUCCCUACACCUUAAUAUUUUGUCGAGAACCCGUUUGCUGCAAUAACAGCCUCAAUUCGUUUGGGGUAAGAAUGUACCAGCUUUGCACAUCAUGCCAGAGUGAUGAUGUGCAAAUUCUUGCCAGAAUUUAUAGAGAUCCUCCAGGUUGGUGGGGCCGCACCUCUGGACAGCAGUUUUAAAAUAGUGCCUCAGAUUCUCAACAGGGUUAAGAUCAGGGCUUUGACUCAGCCAUUCCAGAACAUUCACCUUUCUGUUUUUGAGCCAUUCCAGUGUUUCUUGGGCCUUAGGGUCAUUAUCAUGUUGAAAGAUGAAUCUUCUCCCCAGCCAUAGGAUCAUAGCAGACUGGAAAAGUUCUCCUGCAAUAUUGUGUGUUAUUCGUUGGACUUUUAGAGGCCUUUAGUAGACGUUUUGCUCUCAUGCUUAGUUUUGAGGUAUGGCCUGUUCUAGUAAGAGCCUGGGUGCUGUGAUGAACCUUCCAGCAGUGAUUAACAUGACAUUCGAACUCUUCGAUAUUUUUCUUGCUUUGUGCGUUUAAAUGUCUUCAGCAAAAUGCUUCUUUGUAUACAUGUAUGCAGUGACAGUCAAACAAAGACAAUGGUCCUUUCAAAGGGCACUUUUUAUAUCCAUAGAGAAACAUCAAGACUAAGUAGUAGCUAAUUAUGUUUAAUUAUGGUCUAAUAACUGUCACCUUUAUGUCGUUUGUGAUUAAUUUGUCAUUUGUGCAAACGUGGAGUUUCUGAAGCACAGGGGCCUGAAUACUUAUGCAAACAGCACAUAUGAUGUUUUUGUUUUUAUUUUUAUCUUUUUCAUGUUAGUGGACAACUGACCUAUUUUGGUGUUUGAAAAUAUACUUGUUCUAUACAUAAAUGUUGUUUGAGAAAAUUGUGUAUAUGUAUUUUAUCCUCCAGACGAUCAUCAUGACAUUCAAGGGGGUUGAAUACUUUUGCAAGCCACUGCAGUCCAAACACUAGCUGUUAGGCCAAAUGGUGAAUUGCCUAUUGUGUGUGAUUGUGUGUGCGUGCGUGCGUGCGUGCGUGCGUGCGUGUGUGUGUGCGCGUGCGUGUGCGCGUGCAAGUGCACCCCAGCCUUGUGCCCUUUGCUGCUUGCGAUAAGCUUCAGCCACCACUGCCCCGUGACUCCAGUUAGGAUGCAGUUCUCAGUUAUACAUCACUUUGGAUAAAAAUGUCUGCUAAAUAAUAAUUAUGGACAGAUGGAUAUAUUAACAUAGUGGUGUGCUUGGACAUUUUACAUUAAUAAACUAAAUGACCCGAUGAAAAAACACCAAAAUGAUCAAAAAUAUUCAUGCAUCACCAGCACCUCCUGGUUAUUAAGUACACAACUGAGAAUCGUAACUGUAACCUAAUGCCAAGUUGUCUUUGCCAACCUUAAUCGUCAUUCUAACACUAAACCUAAUUCUAACCCGAUCCCCAAUUCCAUCCAUAAUCUUAAUUCUAACACUAACCAUAAUAGUCAGCCUAAUUCGGAAUUUCUUUAAUCAGUUUAUAACAUUUUGCUUUGGCAUUAGUCUCGUUAUUAAAACAUUUUCGUGUUUUGAUUAUUCUUAUAGCUUAGGAGUUUCCAUAAAGUUUUCAGUAUGAAAUUCUUCAAAUUAAGGUGAUUGGCUUUACUUUUGGUUUUAUUAAAAAAUGUGGGGGUCCACGUCAUGUAAGAGGUGCCCUUUUUAUUUAUUUGGUUCUGCAGUUCAAACAGCAACUGCAUGAUGCAUUUUGUUAUUUUUAAACAAAUUAAUUGAAUGUAUUGCUCAUGAUUAUGAACUCGGAUGCAUUGUUGAAUGCUGUAACAAUUGUCAGGGUUGUGUUUUUUUUUAGGGAUUUUGUUGAACCAUGGAGAGCAAGGAGCAGUGUGCCGUGUUCUCUAUUCCAGUGUGUCCAUCCACCUUGAAAAGGCGCACAAAAUGUAAUGCUCUGUAGAGCGUAAGCUCCUAAAGCCUCUCAGAUUGGGUAGGUACCGUGAACCGCCAGACUUCCCAGGGGUUAAAGGACAAGCAUUAAAGGACAAGAUCUGAAGAACAUGCUUCGUGAUUCAAAGAAAGGAGCAAAGAAUACCUAGGAAGCAUUACAGGGGGCUGCGGAUAAAAAUGUAGAUGAAAUUCAGUUUUUGAAGGAGACUAUCAAAGAUCUUGAGCGGCAGCUGAAUGAACUCGGUGCCAAAUCAGAGGAGAAACUGGAGAGGCAUGCAAAACGCUGGCCUCUUUUUUCAGGUAGGAAUAGUUCUUACAUCUCUUAUAUCAGUAAGCCUUCAAUUCACUGAGUUCUUUUAAUUUUUGUAUUCUCUUGUAUAAAGAAUCCUCUCUGAUUUAUAAAACUAUAAUCAUUUGGGCUGACAGAUCCAGAAAGAUCCCGGAGAAGCUGAAGCAGAAAGGCAAGCGUGUGGGAUGGCAAACAGCACCCACCACUGGCAGACCAGAAAUUCACCGAAUCAACUACAAUUUUAAGCUGGAUCAAUGACCCUCAGACUAAGUCACCAUGUGCAAACAUUUGGUUUAUGUGGUUAAAUUUGUACAGAAUGUGUAGAGAAGCAAAUAAUUAUUCGCAGACAGGAAGUAAGAUUCCGAGAAAGUGAACAGAUCUAUCUAGAGCUGACCUUCAAAAACCAGAAGCACAAAAAAUCAUGCAAACAGACAGAAUUCUGGACAUUUAAAUCAAUACCUGCUGAAUUUAAACGCAUAAGUUGUAGUUGUGACUAUCAAGCAGUAUUUUUGAUUUUGCUUACAGGGAACCUUUCUAAAGACUCCAUUAGUGCUGAGGUGAAAAACCUUUGUAUUGGCUUCCUGGCUGCGCAAACCUUUUUGUAUUUAGUGGGCACCGAACAAUUGUAGUGAGAAACAUUACUGUCCACGGAUUCAGAAACUGUCAGGAGGAAGGAAGAAAUUAGGUUUCUGAUUAGAGUGAGUACCAAAAAGCUGUAUACAAGCACACCUGAGACCUAUAUCAUGAAGCAAGAUUUGUUGGUUCGCUAGAUAUCUUGUCAUAAUUAAGGUAAGUGUUUCUCAGACUAGCCUCGGGACCCCCAGACAGUCCACAAUUUUGCUCCCUUCCAACUUCCAGGGAAUUGGGAAAGAGCAAAAACAAGAGACACUGGGAAUGACCAAAAACCAGCCAGGUAGAGAGGGGAAGUGACUUUCUAAAUGUAAAUGAUGUAACAUCAUACUGCUAAUAUGUGCUAGCAGGCUCAACAAGUUUCACAGUCAGCCAACUGACUGGCCUUGCUCGAAUUCAGAAUGAUGUAAAAAUUGACAAGAAAGUGCUACAAGAAUUUCAGAUGUCCAUUUUUGACACUAAUCCCAUUAACGGGAUAACUCAAAAAAUAUUUGAUGGAUCUUGCAGACAUGUUUUAUGGGGAAGAUCUGCACCUCUUCAAAUUUUGAGACAAAUUGCACAGAAAAUUGAAGCAACUUAGCUGCUUAGCGACAGCAAAGGGACUACAGAAGACACUUGACCUUGUGAACAUGGCAACUCAAAAAGUACUUGAUGGAUGUCAUUUCCCCUUCACAAAAAAGAACAUUAUAUGGAUGAAGACCUAUACCUGAUUUAAUUUGGAGUGAAAUCAGUCCAAAAUUGAAGCAGUAAUCGUGGCAAUAAAGGAAGGAAAGGGUGACUGCAGAAAGUACUUGAUCUCAUGAACAUAGUAACUCUGAAAGUAUUUUAUGUAUUCUUUUCAUUAUUAUGUGGUAUUGGUUUUGUGUGAUUUUAUCAGUUCCAAAUUUUCAUGUGAACAAUGUCUACAGAGCUUGAAAAAGAUCUGUCAAAUACUCUUUGAGUUAACAUGCUAAGGAGACAUGUGUAUGUGGCAGCAGCAGUGGUUAACCGUUCACAAAACCAUGUGUAUUCUGUUUCUGAGGAAUACAAUUUAUCCAGCAAAAACCAGUUACACCUUCUAAAGAUAUAAACAUUUAAACAAAUAUCUUUGACCCCCAAAAGAAAAAUUAAUAAUUAAAACACAUGCCAUGCUGGCAUUCGCAUCCCAUGCAUCCUCACCUGACCCAGCAGUGGUUGGGUCAGGGCACUGGGACCAGGAUUGGGCUCUAGCCCAAGACCUGGAGUUCUACAGACCCAGAAUUAGUGGGGUCAGUUCUCAGGAACCCUGGUAUGGUUCUCAAUGUGGAUUUAAAUGUUCUAGUUAUCUAGACUGUGCCAUUCCCCAGGUCCACAAACUCCCAAGGAAAUGAAGGAAAGCCCUAGUUACCGGUCCAGCAUCGGAGCCUGCAUCUCCAGUUUCUGGCACAGCAGAGAACCCUGCUCCACCCAAGUUGCCCUUUCCAGAUGACCAGAUUGACAACUUGUCCUCUGAUCUAUGUGAAUGGACUUGCUCCAACAUCUGGCCAGUUGUCAAGCACAGUUUAUAGCAGAUCAGUUUUAAAUUGGCAAGUGGAAAGAAGGUUGUUGCACCUUUCUCCUGUGUUGGGCCCCCAGGAGGUGGACAGGGUUAAGAGAACACUCCUUCAGGACUUGGCAUCCAGCACCCAGCCCAGAAGGGACUGCCACCUCAUCAGAGUCCUGAGUCCCCAGACAGAAGGGGCUGCAUCACACGUUCCAGGCAUAGAGGAGGCCCAGAGAAGCCCGCAACAUCUCCAGAGUUCUGCCCGGGGGAGGCUCCUGUGUCUCCAGCCUCCUACCCGAGGGAGGCCGCCGAAUAUCCAGAGCCCUGGCCGGGGGAGGCUGCCAUGUCUCCAGAGCCCUGUCCAGAGGGGGCCACCAAGACCAAGUUCUUAGAGUUCCCUCCCUUGCUUUCCCACCAAGUCCCAUUCAUGCCUCUGCCCUUUGGUUCCCCAAGUCCGUCUUCUGGUCCAUAUUAUAGCUCCCUGUGCAUCUUGUCUUCUUCAUGUGGCUCCAGUUCCUGAGUCCUGAGUUCCCCAAUCUUGUCACCCUGACCUAACUCCUAGUGUUCCAUCUGUCUGUCCUGAUGCCCCCUUUGUUUGGUGCCCUACUCCAGUCUGUCCUGUCUCUGGGUGUUGUUGGGUGUAUCUCUGUGUUGUCAUGGCUCGUGUUUCCUAUUCUCCGUGGUCCUGGCAAUACCUCGCAUACCCGGUGUUUGCACAUUAGAUGGGGGGUACUGUCAGGAUCAGUCCCUUUCCUGUCCCCUAUGGUAUGUCAGUUCCUCAUUUAGCCAGCAGGUGUCGCCAGCCAUCCAGCUAUUAUUAGCUCCUAGUGGGUUUGCUCCUGCGUUGCUUGCAUGUGUUGCUCUAUGUUUGCUUUCGCUAGAUGUAUCUUAUGCAUUUGUUCCUGUGCUGCUCUCUACUUUAGUUCUUGUGUUCUACCUACCUGCCUUUAUUAGACCCCUCUUGGUUCCUUUUGUUUCUUGUUUGUUUUUGAGUUCAAUAAAGUUCCUUGUGUUUUUUGA